UGGGGAAUUUUGGACAAUGGGUGAAAGCCUGAUCCAGCAAUGCCGCGUGUGUGAAGAAGGCCUUCGGGUUGUAAAGCACUUUUGUCCGGAAAGAAAUCCUUGGCUCUAAUACAGUCGGGGGAUGACGGUACCGGAAGAAUAAGCACCGGCUAACUACGUGCCAGCAGCCGCGGUAAUACGUAGGGUGCAAGCGUUAAUCGGAAUUACUGGGCGUAAAGCGUGCGCAGGCGGUUUGCUAAGACCGAUGUGAAAUCCCCGGGCUCAACCUGGGAACUGCAUUGGUGACUGGCAGGCUAGAGUAUGGCAGAGGGGGGUAGAAUUCCACGUGUAGCAGUGAAAUGCGUAGAGAUGUGGAGAAAUACCGAUGGCGAAGGCAGCCCCCUGGGCCAAUACUGACGCUCAUGCACGAAAAGCGUGGGGAGCAAAACAGGAUUAGAUACCCUGGUAGUCCACGCCCUAAACGAUGUCAACUAGUUGUUGGGGAUUCAUUUCCUUAGUAGCGUAGCUAACGCGUGAAGUUGACCGCCUGGGGAGUACGGUCGCAAGAUUAAAACUCAAAGGAAUUGACGGGGUCAUAGCUGUUUCCU
rnacentral:rRNA from 1 species